rnacentral:miRNA from 1 species
UUCUUUCUCUGCUCUGUUUAUGGCCCUAUGGUAAUUCACUGAUAGUGAGCUCUCACAGUGAAUUCUACCAGUGCCAUACACAGAACAGGAGUCAUUAUCACCC